rnacentral:rRNA from 2 species
GCGCCCCCAGGUCAGGCGGGCC